GACGAACGCUGGCGGUAUGCUUAACACAUGCAAGUCGAACGAGACGAGAUGGAAGUGCUUGCACGGAAAUGUUAGAAAGUGACGAACGGGUGAGUAACGCGUGGGUAACGUGACCUAUGGAAAGGAAUAGCCUCGGGAAACUGGGAGUAAUGCCUUAUAAGAUACAUUUGUCGCAUGGCAGAAGUAUUAAACGCUCCGGUGCCAUAGGAUGGACCCGAGUCCCAUUAGCUAGUUGGUGAGAUAACAGCCCACCAAGGCGACGAUGGGUAACCGGUCUGAGAGGGCGAACGGGCACACUGGAACUGAGACACGGUCCAGACUCCUACGGGAGGCAGCAGUGGGGAAUAUUGCGCAAUGGGGGCAACCCUGACGCAGCAAUACCGCGUGAGUGAAGAAGGUUUUCGGAUCGUAAAGCUCUGUUAUUGGGGAAGAAAAAAGACGGUACCCAAGAAGAAAGUCCCGGCUAACUACGUGCCAGCCGCCGCGGUAACAC
rnacentral:rRNA from 1 species